rnacentral:sRNA from 1 species
ACAGACAGUAUAACAAACUGCGAAACCUGCUGAAGGAUGCGCGUCAUGAUUGCAUUCUCUUUGCUAAUGAAUUCCAGCAAUGCUGCUAUCUGCCACGGGAAAGAGGAGAGUCCAUGGAGAAGUGGCAGACCAGGAGCAUAUACAACGCAGCUGUUUGGUACUAUCAUCACUGCCAGGACAGGAUGCCAAUUGUUAUGGUGACGGAAGAUGAAGAGGCAAUUCAGCAGUAUGGAAGUGAAACAGAAGGAGUAUUCGUGAUUACUUUCAAGAAUUACCUGGACAAUUUCUGGCCUGAUUUAAAAGCUGCCCACGAGCUUUGUGAUUCUAUCCUUCAGUCUCGACGGGAGAGAGAGAAUGAGAGUCAGGAGAGCCAUGGGAAGGAGUACCCAGAACAUCUUCCCCUGGAAGUGUUAGAAGCUGGGAUUAAAUCUGGACGCUAUAUCCAGG